AACGAACGCUGGCGGCAUGCCUAACACAUGCAAGUCGAACGAAGGCUUCGGCCUUAGUGGCGCACGGGUGCGUAACGCGUGGGAAUCGGCCCUUUUGUUCGGAAUAACAGCUGGAAACGGCUGCUAAUACCGGAUGAUGACGAAAGUCCAAAGAUUUAUCGCCAGAGUAUGAGCCCUCGUUGGAUUAGGUAGUUGGUUGGCUAAAGGCAUACCAAGCCGACGAUGCAUAGCUGGUCUGUGAGAAUGGUCAGCGACACUGAGACUGAGACACGGCCCGGAAUCCUCCGGGAGGGGGGAGUGCGGAAUAGAGGAAAAUGGGGGGAGGGCUGAUGCAGCAAGGCCGGGAGAGCGAUGAAGGCCGGAGGGUUGUAAAGCGCAAUUAACCGGGAAGGUAAUGACUGUACCGGGAGAAUAAGCCACGGCUAACUACGUG
rnacentral:rRNA from 1 species